UACGUAGGGGGCGAGCGUUGUCCGGAUUUAUUGGGCGUAAAGAGCUCGUAGGCGGCUUGGCAAGUCGGGUGUGAAACCUCCAGGCUCAACCUGGAGACGCCACUCGAUACUGCUAUGGCUAGAGUCCGGUAGGGGACCACGGAAUUCCGUGGUGUAGCGGUGAAAUGCGCAGAUAUCAGGAGGACACCGGUGGCGAAGGCGGUGGUCUGGGCCGGCACUGACGCUGAGGAGCGAAAGCGUGGGUAGCAAACAGG
rnacentral:rRNA from 1 species